AACGAACGCUGGCGGCAUGCCUAACACAUGCAAGUCGAACGAAACCUUCGGGUCUAGUGGCGCACGGGUGCGUAACGCGUGGGAACCUGCCCUUAGGUUCGGAAUAACUCCCCGAAAGGGGUGCUAAUACCGGAUAAUGUCUUCGGACCAAAGAUUUAUCGCCGUUGGAUGGGCCCGCGUUGGAUUAGCUAGUUGGUAGGGUAAAGGCCUACCAAGGCGACGAUCCAUAGCUGGUCUGAGAGGAUGAUCAGCCACAUUGGGACUGAGACACGGCCCAAAAUCCUACGGGAGGCAGCAGUGGGGAAUCUUGCGCAAUGGGCGAAAGCCUGACGCAGCAAUGCCGCGUGAAUGAUGAAGGUCUUAGGAUUGUAAAAUUCUUUCACCGGGGACGAUAAUGACGGUACCCGGAGAAGAAGCCCCGGCUAACUUCGUG
rnacentral:rRNA from 1 species